CUGGGCUGCGGCUCUCACAGGCCUCCCCGCGCCCGCCGCUGCGCUCCGGGCCAGGCGCCGCGCGGGCUACACCGGCGCCCGCUCCCCGGCCCCCGUGCGCCCCAUCACUUCCUCCCAGGAAAGGCCGAGUGGCGCUGCGAAAAGCACCGUCGCCGCCACGAGCGCCCGAUUCGCUGGGCAGCUAGGUAUAGGUUCUUUCCCCGGCAGGCGGGUCCGACUUCCACGUUAGCCAACGGCAGCAAGGUAUUCCUGGAAGUGGUGAGCAGCAAUCCACGCAGGAAAGCGCGCUGUGCUGAGUGCCUUGUGGAUGUUAAAAUUAAAUACCUCUUUUGUACGACUAUGGAUGGCUGUAAUAAAGCUACAGUAAUAGCCUCGUCUUCUUAAUCACGCUCAGAUUAUUGAGGAACAGAGAAAAACACAAUAAACCAUUUUAAAAGAUUGAUUUGCA
rnacentral:lncRNA from 13 species